GCUCUGCUGGCUGUCCCGCAGGACCCAGCGCCGCGGUAGCCUUCUCUAAACUGCGGCUCAGGCGGAGGUGUCACUCCUGCCUCCAGCCCAGGAGGGCAGGUCAGGUUAUACAACGCGUGCCGUGCGAUCUCCCCCCACCUCCAACCUCCUUUUUUCCCGGGUCCACACCGCAGUUCCCACUGCUCCGUGUGUCCUCCCCAGUGCGCCGCGAUUUUUGUGUCCAAGCCCCAGAGUCACUCUGAGACCAACCCCCAGCCAGCAUAGACUUCCUGCCUCCCCAGCUCGGGGAUGUGGUCUCAUUAGGUUGCCCAAGCUGGACUUGUACUCUUGGCCUCAAGAGGUCCUUCCAUCUCAGUCUCCCAAGUAGCUGGGACUACAGGCAUGCACCACUACACUCAGCCAAAUACUUUCAAUAACUUGCCAGCUGACAACUUGAUUGGGUUCUCCUUCAGGUUUGAAGCGCCCUUGAGAAUGUCUUAAGGAGACAGCUGAUAGACAAACAACAGUUUUGGAUUCACUGACUGAUUAUGAAAGAAGCAGUAGACUGGUGUCAAGAAUCAGUCAGAAAGGAGGCCCUCACCAGAUGCCAGUGCCGUGUUCUUGGACUUCUCAGCCUCCAUAUUCAUGAACUAAGUUUUUGGAAUCCUUACGUUUCCACAUGUGGAAAGCCUGAGCUAACCUACUGGAGGAUGAGCCAUCACCUGGAGCAGACUCAGGCCAUCCUAGUUGAAGCCUCCCCAAGCCAAGCAACCUUCCAACUACCAGACAUUGACCAUUCAGCCUUGAACAUUCAGCACAAAGACAAAACAGACCAGACCAGAAGAGUCCCACAGAAUAGGGGAAACUAUUCAGAGAAAACUUAAGCCACUAAGUUUUAUGGUGUUUUGUUCUGUAGCAGAAGCAUACUGACAAUACAAACCGAAAUCCUUCUAAUGUAGUGGACCUUUUCAGGCCAGCAUUUUUUCCUUGAAAACCUGGAGCAUGUAUCCAUCUUAUAGCAGAGAUCACUUUCACAAUGUUUGGGCUCUUGAUUUGAAUUGAUGAUGUAAUGAGCCCUCUAUCCAGAUUGUAACUAAUUACUCUGCCACUUGACUGGAUUCCACACCCUUCUAAUAUUUUACUUUUCCUCUUUUAUCAACUCUCAUUCUCUCUGCCAUGAUCAAUAGACCAACUAUGCUUAUAACCACAAAUUUUGAUAUGCUUAAACAAAUGAACAAAUAUAUUUAAUAAUUUCUUUUUUUUUUUUUUAAAUGGUAUCUUGCUCUGUCACCCAGGCUGCAGUGCAGCAGUGUGAUCUCAGCUCACUACAACCUCCACCUCCCGGGUUCAAGUGAUUCUCCUGCCUCAGCCUCCCAAGUAGCUGGGACGACAGGUGCCCGCCACCAUACCCGGCUAAUUUUUUGUAUUUUUAGUAGAGACAGGGUUUAUCCAUGUUGGCCAGGCUGGUCUUGAACUCCCAACCUCAAGCGAUCCUCCUGCCUCAGCCUCCCAAAGUGCUGGGAUUACAGAUGUGAGCCACCAUGCCCAGACAAUAAUUUCUCGAUAUAAUAAAAAUGCCAAUGCUAUACAAUUAAUAGUAAAGUGAUAAAAAGUAGAAUAACAUGAUAACCAUUAAUUAAUAUAUAUUACAUAAUCAUC
rnacentral:lncRNA from 1 species